UACGAAGGGGGCUAGCGUUGCUCGGAAUCACUGGGCGUAAAGCGCACGUAGGCGGCUUGUUAAGUCAGGGGUGAAAUCCUGGAGCUCAACUCCAGAACUGCCUUUGAUACUGGCGAGCUCGAGUCCGGGAGAGGUGAGUGGAACUGCGAGUGUAGAGGUGAAAUUCGUAGAUAUUAGGAAGAACACCAGUGGCGAAGGCGGCUCACUGGCCCGGUACUGACGCUGAGGCGCGAAAGCGUGGGGAGCAAACAGG
rnacentral:rRNA from 1 species